rnacentral:tRNA from 1 species
GUCUUGGUGGUGUAGUGGUGAGCACGCUCGGCGCGUAAUCGAGAGGUCCGUGGUUCGAGUUCUGGCGAGGGCA